GUAAGAGCAGAAGAAACAGAAGGCAGAGCCUUGGCCAUGUGACUGAGUAUGAUUUGUGCAGAGAACUUCAUUAUAAUCUUCUGGUGUUAACUGUACAUCUAGGAGAAUAGCUGUAAAUGAGAGGACAAGAAGACUUUCUUCCUGACUAAGAUGAAGAGAAGCCAUUCUAAUAAGGUGGAUGAUCGUAGACUUCCUUUGAAUAAGUGCAUCCCACUUAUGAAGCCAAGCAGUUAACUACAUAAGCUAAGGGACCUCAGUGGCUGAUACCAUCUUUUUUUAAAAGUUUGUGGUGAGCACUGACAAUCUUCUG
rnacentral:lncRNA from 1 species